AUGGCCCAAGCUUGCCGCACAACCCCAUUGCGGCUGCCUCAUCAGUUACAUCAGGCCACCCCAUGCAUGUUGACAUCGUGUAGAGAUGCUUCUACUACACACUCCAGGUAUGCUGUGGAUUUCCCCCUUUUGACUAUUUCCAAAAAAUUAAGUGAUCAAGAUUGGUUCUUUACUGUCGCAAUUUCUCUUUUGAUUCCUAUAAUAUCUCUAUUCCUCUUCGUCAUAGUGUCUUUAUCCAUCAUCUUUCUUUUCUGUUAUUUUUUGGGAUGGCUCCGUGUACAUGUGUCCCUUGAUUUUGCAGCAGGCCGCACCUACUUCUACUACCGCAUGAAGGUUACUUUUUUUUAUUCGGCGAUUGAGUCUCAAUCAUUCCGAUGCUUUAGUGUUGUGACUUGUGAGUUACUUCAACAUAUAUGCACACCCGAGAGUGUUUACAAGUAUAGGCAUGUGAGCUGUCCAAGGAAGAAGAUAUUAUCUGAUGGAAUCAUCUAG
rnacentral:rRNA from 1 species